UGCGGGUAGGUGUAAUUAGAAACAUAUUCGAUAAAUGUUCGAAAGUUGGGAGUAAAAAUCUCUUGUCCGCAA
rnacentral:tRNA from 1 species